UACAGAGGUCCCAAGCGUUGUUCGGAUUCACUGGGCGUAAAGGGUGCGUAGGCGGUUGGGUAAGUCUGAUGUGAAAUCUCACAGCUUAACUGUGAAACUGCAUUGGAUACUAUCCAACUCGAGGAAUGGAGGGGAGACUGGAAUGCCGAGUGUAGAGGUGAAAUUCGUAGAUAUUCGGCGGAACACCAGUGGCGAAGGCGACUCACUGGCCCGAUACUGACGCUGAUGCGCGAAAGCGUGGGGAGCAAACAGG
rnacentral:rRNA from 1 species